rnacentral:rRNA from 1 species
UGGCGAACGGGUGAGUAAUACAUCGGAACGUGUCCUGUAGUGGGGGAUAGCCCGGCGAAAGCCGGAUUAAUACCGCAUACGACCUGAGGGAGAAAGCGGGGGAUCUUCGGACCUCGCGCUAUAGGGGCGGCCGAUGGCAGAUUAGCUAGUUGGUGGGGUAAAGGCCUACCAAGGCGACGAUCUGUAGCUGGUCUGAGAGGACGACCAGCCACACUGGGACUGAGGCACGGCCCAGACUCCUACGGGAGGCAGCAGUGGGGAAUUUUGGACAAUGGGCGCAAGCCUGAUCCAGCAAUGCCGCGUGUGUGAAGAAGGCCUUCGGGUUGUAAAGCACUUUUGUCCGGAAAGAAAACUUCGGCCCUAAAUAUGGCUGGAAGAUGACGGUACCGGAAGAAUAAGCGCCGGCUAACUACGUGCCAGCAGCCGCGGUAAUACGUAGGGUGCGAGCGUUAAUCGGAAUUACUGGGCGUAAAGCGUGCGCAGGCGGUCUGUUAAGACCGAUGUGAAAUCCCCGGGCUUAACCUGGGAACUGCAUUGGUGACUGGCAGGCUUUGAGUGUGGCAGAGGGAGGUAGAAUUCCACGUGUAGCAGUGAAAUGCGUAGAGAUGUGGAGGAAUACCGAUGGCGAAGGCAGCCUCCUGGGCCAACACUGACGCUCAUGCACGAAAGCGUGGGGAGCAAACAGGAUUAGAUACCCUGGUAGUCCACGCCCUAAACGAUGUCAACUAGUUGUUGGGGAUUCAUUUCCUUAGUAACGUAGCUAACGCGUGAAGUUGACCGCCUGGGGAGUACGGUCGCAAGAUUAAAACUCAAAGGAAUUGACGGGGACCCGCACAAGCGGUGGAUGAUGUGGAUUAAUUCGAUGCAACGCGAAAAACCUUACCUACCCUUGACAUGGUCGGAACCCUGCUGAAAGGUGGGGGGCUCGAAAGAGAACCGGCGUACAGGCGCUGCAUGGCUGUCGUCAGCUCGUGUCGUGAGAUGUUGGGUUAAGUCCCGCAACGAGCGCAACCCUUGUUCUUAGUUGCUACGCAAGAGCACUCUAAGGAGACUGCCGGUGACAAACCGGAGGAAGGUGGGGAUGACGUCAAGUCCUCAUGGCCCUUAUGGGUAGGGCUUCAC